rnacentral:rRNA from 1 species
AACGAACGCUGGCGGCGUGCCUAAGACAUGCAAGUCGUGCGGAAAGGCUCCUUCGGGAGCACUCGAGCGGCGCACGGGUGAGUAACGCGUGGGUAAUCUGCCUUCGGGUUCGGGACAACUCCGGGAAACUGGAGCUAAUACCGGAUAAGACUACGGGGCUCUCGGGCCCUGCAGAACAAGGUGGCCUCUGCUUCCAAGCUACCGCCCGUUUAUGAGCCCGCGUCCCAUUAGCUAGUUGGUGGGGUAACGGCCUACCAAGGCGAUGAUGGGUAGCUGGUCUGAGAGGAUGAUCAGCCACACUGGAACUGAGACACGGUCCAGACUCCUACGGGAGGCAGCAGUGGGGAAUUUUGCGCAAUGGGGGAAACCCUGACGCAGCAACGCCGCGUGAGUGAUGAAGGCCUUCGGGUCGUAAAGCUCUUUUGGAGGGAAAGAAAUGUGUCGUGGCUAACAUCCACGGCAUUUGACGGUACCCUCAGAAAAAGUUCCGGCUAACUCCGUGCCAGCAGCCGCGGUAACAC